UACGUAGGUGGCAAGCGUUGUCCGGAUUUACUGGGCGUAAAGGGCGUGCAGGCGGUCUGUUAAGUUCAGGGUGAAAGCUCCCGGCUCAACUGGGAGAGGUCCUUGGAUACUGGCAGACUUGAGGGAGGUAGAGGAGAGUGGAAUUCCCGGUGUAGUGGUGAUAUGCGUAGAUAUCGGGAGGAACACCAGUGGCGAAGGCGGCUCUCUGGGCCGUAACUGACGCUGAGGAGCGAAAGCGUGGGGAGCGAACAGG
rnacentral:rRNA from 1 species